rfam:Brevibacillus borstelensis AK1 seq_num_003, whole genome shotgun sequence.
GGGGCAUUAGCUCAGCUGGGAGAGCGCUACACUGGCAGUGUAGAGGUCAGCGGUUCGAUCCCGCUAUGCUCCA